GUACCCCUCGUCUGAGUGCCUAGUCAAAUGACAGCACAAAUACAUUCAACGCACAUGAUGUAACAUACCUUAAAUAAACCGAGCUUGCGCUCCAGUCGGUCUCUUUUUACCGCUGAACUCCAAACGGACGACAUCGUACUUUCUGCUCUGCAAACCUUAUCACAACACAACUCUCAUCUCUAAAUCCCGGUUAUUUUAAUUGGCGACGAAGGAGUGAAGAACUACGCGAGCGUUUUUUUUUCUUUCGGUGGUGUAUUUAAUCGGACAGUUUUUUUUUAAAUCAUUUUUUCCUUUGCGGGAUUGAAACGAUCGUCCUGUUCGGGUGAGCACGCAUCGGAGAAGAAAUUUGCUGGCCAUUGUGUGCGAGUAGCGGUGGCACCAUUUUGUUUUCUACAAACCGACGCCGAGUGAGCAGCAGCAAAAAACCGAGGAUUCUGUCGGUGUGCCUGGAAGUGCGGUACCUGUUGGCCGGAGAUUUGCAUCGGAAAGGUUGCAGCACGGCGAAUUCCGUGGUUCGGGCGGCAAGUGGCACGAUUUUGCGCGGCGUAUUCCGGUGGAUUUUUGCUGAUUCGGUGCGGUGAAGGUUCUGCUUUUUGCGGUGGUUUGGAGCGUCGGCAGUUCCGGCGGCAUUUUUGGGACAAAGGAGAGCGUUCGUUGGCGGCGGUGACCAGGCGAUUUGUUCUUGGACCGGGAGAAAGCAGCUUUGUGAGGCCAAAUUGCCACGGUGUAAUUCAGCUGUUUGAGCCGGUGCACAAACUUUUGCUUCGCUGAACGACGUUUUCCUGUGCUGGUGCACGGUGCGCACGACGAGUUUGUGCAGGAGGUUAAGUUUGCUUGCUGGCAAAGGCCGGGUGCGAGAUCGAUACUCGUACAACACGGUUCCCAGUGGAGCGAGGACAAGAAAACGCGAUGGCGCCUAGUAGCACGAAUCGUCGUGUUGUGGACUCGAAGGAGAUGUGCUGUUCGUGGUGACUGGCAAUCAAAGAAGUUGCUGGUGGAGUGCAGCAAACGAAAUGACCUUCUACUGAAGACGAAAUGCGAAACAACAUGGAGAUUUCGAACGAGGACACGGGUGGUGCUGGAUGCGGCAGAAACCGUCCGUUUAGGGAUGUCUCUGAACGGAAAGGAACAAAACGUAAAAAACGUAAAAGGAAUACUUCUAACAGUGAAAUUAUCUGCGGUGAAGACUUUUUUACAAUUCCUGAACACUAAUUUCUUUCGAAUUAGAACAAAACGU